CUCUUUGUGCACCCGCCCACACGGUUUGCCGUGUUUUCACCCUUCUUUGUUCUCCACCGGUCUGGGCAGGGUCUGAGGACUCCGGAGAGCAAGGCAUGGGUCCGCCUCGUGCCGCAGGUUCCUGGCCCACGCCAGCCGUACCCAGUAGCACAAUGGGAUUUGAGGACACACGCCAGCUGCCUACACCUGAAGAAAGGUUAGUCUUAGGUUUCACUGGCAUGCUUGUCUCUUGGCUUGACUUUUUGGAAGGGGUGGAUUCGAGACAGGGUUUCUCCAUGUAGCCCUGAUCUCAGAUCCGCCUGCCUCUACUCUCUGGAAUUAAAUGCAUACAGCACCACCGACUGGCCCUUGUUUUGUUCUUAAUAUCCUGCCUGCAUUAGCCAGUCUCCAAGCAAGCUACCACCCAGCCAUCUUUUUGUUUUUAGAUCUUAACUAAUCUCCCUAACUCUAAAUCUAUGGUGGAUCCAGGAGCUGCCUUGAUUAUUUCUUGUGCCUUUAAGUUCUGUAUGCUAGUCCACGGCAGUGGGUCUCAGCCUUCCUGAGGGCCUUUAAUGCAGUUCCUCGGGCUGUGAUGUUCCUAACCAUCGGUUUUAUUUUCCUUGUAUCUUCAUAACUAAAGUUUGCUAUUGUGAUAA
rnacentral:lncRNA from 1 species